CCUACGGGAGGCAGCAGUGGGGAAUAUUGCACAAUGGGCGCAAGCCUGAUGCAGCCAUGCCGCGUGUGUGAAGAAGGCCUUCGGGUUGUAAAGCACUUUCAGCGGGGAGGAAGGCGGUGAGGUUAAUAACCUCAUCGAUUGACGUUACCCGCCGAAGAAGCACCGGCUAACUCCGUGCCAGCAGCCGCGGUAAUACGGAGGGUGCAAGCGUUAAUCGGAAUUACUGGGCGUAAAGCGCACGCAGGCGGUCUGUCAAGUCGGAUGUGAAAUCCCCGGGCUCAACCUGGGAACUGCAUACGAAACUGGCAGGCUAGAGUCUUGUAGAGGGGGGUAGAAUUCCAGGUGUAGCGGUGAAAUGCGUAGAGAUCUGGAGGAAUACCGGUGGCGAAGGCGGCCCCCUGGACAAAGACUGACGCUCAGGUGCGAAAGCGUGGGGAGCAAACAGGAUUGGAUACCCGAGUAGUC
rnacentral:rRNA from 1 species